GACGAACGCUGGCGGCGUGCUUAACACAUGCAAGUCGAACGGAAAGGCCCUGCUUUUGUGGGGUGCUCGAGUGGCGAACGGGUGAGUAACACGUGAGUAACCUGCCCUUGACUUUGGGAUAACUUCAGGAAACUGGGGCUAAUACCGGAUAGGAGCUCCUGCUGCAUGGUGGGGGUUGGAAAGUUUCGGCGGUUGGGGAUGGACUCGCGGCUUAUCAGCUUGUUGGUGGGGUAGUGGCUUACCAAGGCUUUGACGGGUAGCCGGCCUGAGAGGGUGACCGGCCACGUGGGGACUGAGGUAGGCACCAGGCUGCAAGGGGGGGCAACGGGGGGAAAUAUGGCACAGGGGGGGGGAGCGUGAGACGGAAGCCCCGGGAGGGGAAAGACGGCUUUCGGGUUAGAACCGGCUUUCGCCUGUGACAGGGGGGGGGUGACGGUAAGGGGAAAAGAAGCACCGGCUAACUCCGUG
rnacentral:rRNA from 1 species